AUUGAACGCUGGCGGCAGGCCUAACACAUGCAAGUCGAACGGUAACAGAAAGCAGCUUGCUGCUUUGCUGACGAGUGGCGGACGGGUGAGUAAUGUCUGGGAAACUGCCUGAUGGAGGGGGAUAACUACUGGAAACGGUAGCUAAUACCGCAUAACGUCGCAAGACCAAAGAGGGGGACCUUCGGGCCUCUUGCCAUCGGAUGUGCCCAGAUGGGAUUAGCUAGUAGGUGGGGUAAAGGCUCACCUAGGCGACGAUCCCUAGCUGGUCUGAGAGGAUGACCAGCCACACUGGAACUGAGACACGGUCCAGACUCCUACGGGAGGCAGCAGUGGGGAAUAUUGCACAAUGGGCGCAAGCCUGAUGCAGCCAUGCCGCGUGUAUGAAGAAGGCCUUCGGGUUGUAAAGUACUUUCAGCGGGGAGGAAGGGAGUAAAGUUAAUACCUUUGCUCAUUGACGUCACCCGCAGAAGAAGCACCGGCUAACUCCGUG
rnacentral:rRNA from 1 species